rnacentral:rRNA from 1 species
GAUGAACGCUGGCGGCGUGCCUAAUACAUGCAAGUCGAGCGAACGGACGAGAAGCUUGCUUCUCUGAUGUUAGCGGCGGACGGGUGAGUAACACGUGGAUAACCUACCUAUAAGACUGGGAUAACUUCGGGAAACCGGAGCUAAUACCGGAUGAUAUUUUGAACCGCAUGGUUCAAAGGUGAAAGACGGUCUUGCUGUCACUUAUAGAUGGAUCCGCGCUGCAUUAGCUAGUUGGUAAGGUAACGGCUUACCAAGGCAACGAUGCAUAGCCGACCUGAGAGGGUGAUCGGCCACACUGGAACUGAGACACGGUCCAGACUCCUACGGGAGGCAGCAGUAGGGAAUCUUCCGCAAUGGGCGAAAGCCUGACGGAGCAACGCCGCGUGAGUGAUGAAGGUCUUCGGAUCGUAAAACUCUGUUAUUAGUGAAGAACAUAUGUGUAAGUAACUGUGCACAUCUUGACGGUACCUAAUCAGAAAGCCACGGCUAACUACGUG